GGAGUCUGGACCGUGUCUCAGUUCCAGUGUGGGGGACCUUCCUCUCAGAACCCCUAGACAUCGUCGCCUCGGUGGGCCGUUACCCCGCCGACUAGCUAAUGUCACGCGAGCCAAUCCGUAUCCAAUGAAUCUUUCAAACAAAGGCCAUGCAGCCUCUGUUGUUAUGGGGUAUUAUAAGACGUUUCCAUCUCCUAUCCCCCAGAUACGGGCAUGUUGCUCACGCGUUACGCACCCUUCCGCCGGUCGCCGACAUUGUAUUGCUACAACUCGCUGCCCCUCGACUUGCAUGUGUUAAGCCUGCCGCUAGCGUUCAUC
rnacentral:rRNA from 1 species